rnacentral:rRNA from 1 species
UACGGGGGGGGCAAGCGUUGUUCGGAAUUACUGGGCGUAAAGGGUGCGUAGGCGGCUUUCUAAGUUGGAUGUGAAAACUAUGGGCUCAACCCAUAGCCUGCAUCCAAAACUGGAGAGCUUGGGUUCUGGAGGGGAAAGCGGAAUUCCUGGUGUAGCGGUGAAAUGCGUAGAUAUCAGGAGGAACACCGGUGGCGAAGGCGGCUUUCUGGACAGAUACCGACGCUGAGGCACGAAAGCUAGGGGAGCGAACAGG